GAUGAACGCUGGCGGCGUGCCUAAUACAUGCAAGUCGAGCGAACGGACGAGAAGCUUGCGUUUCUGAUGUUAGCGGCGGACGGGUGAAUCACACGUGGAUAACCUACCUAUAAGACUGAGAAAACUUCGGGAAACCGGAGCUAAUACCGGAUAAUAUUUUGAACCACAUGGUUCAAAAGUGAAAGACGGUCUUGCUGUCACUUAUAGAUGGAUACCCGCUGGAUUAGCUAGUUGGUGAGGUCACGGCUUACCAAGGCAACGAUACAUAACCGACGGGAGAGGGGGAUCGGCGACAUGGGAGCUUGGACACGGUCCAGGCGACUACGGGAGGGAGCAGAAGGCAAUGUGACGCAGCAGGCGAAAGUAUGGCGGAGCAACGCCGAGUGAGAGACAGAGGUCUUCGGUGCGUAAUACUCUGUUAUUAGGUAAAAACAGAUGUGUAAGUAAAUGUGGAGAUCUUGACGGUACCGAAUCAAAAAGCAACGGCUAACUACGUG
rnacentral:rRNA from 1 species